AUGAAACAACAAGUCGAGGACUGGGUAAAGCAGUGUCAAGUUUGUCAGCAAGCAAAACACGAGCGCACGCAUCCGGGUGGUCUGCUGCAGCCCUUGCCAGUGCCUACGCGUCCUUGGAAGGACAUUACCAUGGAUUUCAUAGAUGGGCUUCCGAAAUCAGAAGGAUUUGAGGUAAUCCUAGUGGUGGUCGAUCGACUCACUAAAUAUGCUCACUUCUUGCCUCUGAAACACCCCUAUACAGCUCAGUCCGUAGCCACGGUUUUCAUUGAUAAUGUGGUUCACCUUCAUGGAGUUCCAGCAUCUAUUGUUUCCGACCGAGAUAAGGUGUUUACCAGUUCUUUUUGGAGGAAGCUCUUCAAGGAUAUAGGCACCAAGUUAUGCUACUCAACAGCCUAUCAUCCCCAAACGGACGGGCAAACGGAGCGUGUUAACCAGUGCUUAGAACAGUAUCUACGUUGUGCCGUUCAUGACAGCCCGGCAAGGUGGAAACGGUGGCUUCCGAUGGCAGAAUUCUGGUAUAAUUCCUCCUAUCAUACUUCUCUAGGAUGCACUCCGUUCAAGGCUCUGUAUGGG
rnacentral:rRNA from 1 species